GACGAACGCUGGCGGCGUGCUUAACACAUGCAAGUCGAACGGAAAGGCCCCUUUGGGGGUACUCGAGUGGCGAACGGGUGAGUAACACGUGAGUAACCUGCCCUUGACUUCGGGAUAACUUCAGGAAACUGGGGCUAAUACCGGAUAGGAAUCCUUGCUGCAUGGUGGGGGUUGGAAAGCUUCGGCGGUUUUGGAUGGACUCGCGGCUUAUCAGCUUGUUGGUGGGGUAGUGGCUUACCAAGGCUUUGACGGGUAGCCGGCCUGAGAGGGCGACCGGCCACAUUGGGACUGAGCUACGGCCCAGACUCCUACGGGAGGCAGCAGUGGGGAAUAUUGCACAAUGGGCGGAAGCCUGAUGCAGCAACGCCGCGUGCGGGAUGACGGCCUUCGGGUUGUAAACCGCUUUCAGCAGGGGCGAAGCUUGUGGUGACGGUACCUGCAGAAGAAGCACCGGCUAACUACGU
rnacentral:rRNA from 1 species